ACAAUCAAUGGCAGCUCCCAGAGGUAUGUUGUUUGCCCGCCACCAACUUCCAAGGGAGAGGCAAAAGGACAGAAGCAGAGAAAGUGAGUGAUACUUAUAAACAUGGGACUUAGGGGCUUUAGUCCACCAGCUCCUUAUGAACGCACAUAGAAUUUGCUGCUCACCAGAACAUUAGUUUAUUGAUGAAUUUUUGAGCUGCCCUGAAAAUAUCUUACUUUGAAAGGUGGUAUAUGAAUUCAUAAAAUAAAUACAUUGUGGAAAAAUGUGCAUCUUUAAAAAACCGUUUUUGGUGUUUUCCUAAUGUCCAUUAUCUUCCUAUCUGAAUGUAGAAAAUAUCUGGUUGUGGUGCGUAUGCAGCUCUUUUGUCCAUAAAGCUGUUUGUACAAAGCUCCAGUUCUGCACUCAUGUGGGCACUCUAUAUUUUCCCCUGCCACGUUAAUAUUAAUGACAGGCAGUCUUCCUGUCUACCCUGCAGCCAAACUGAAUAAUGUAUACCAGGAAUAAUCAUAUAAUUUUCGCAUCCUUCUUUUCACUCCUGUAGCUGCAGAAUUCUUAAGCCUUAACUGCACCACUCAGAUUUAAACAAAUGGGAAAGAGUGUCCGACUUGAGAUUCAUGCACGGUGAUGCAUUUCUUACCCCCUAUCCUUACGUCUGCACUGUCUAUGUAGAAUCAAAAUCAUGGAAGCAAAAUGUAUUUGGGGAUAAAACAAAAAAUACAGAUGUCUAUAACUCUGUCAACCGUGGAAGUAAGCUGAGAGAGACUGUAGACACAGAAAGAGCUAUUAAGUGGGGAAGAUGGGAAGACGCUGAAGAAAUUUCACAUACCCGAGUGCACGUGGACAGAAAUGUGGCUAAAUCUGCAACCCAUGAUACAUCCAAGUCAAAUUAUAACCGUUGCAGCUCCGCCAGAGUCGGCAGUGAUUAUGACAACAGGAGUGUGCUAGGGGAAUCCAUGAAGACAAAAAAUACAGAGAACAGGCACCCGGAAGGACAACCGCCAGCCUUAGAAAAGCGAUCCGAGGAAAGCAUGGCGUUAAAAAAGAAAGGCUUUUUAGAAUCAUUGAAAAGUACUCUCUUUCCGCCAGUGCUACAGCAGAUUUUUAGUGGAAAUGGUCAGCCCUCCUGAGGGAUUGUGAUUGCUGGAAAAGUCUAGCGAAACUCCAGGGAUAUUUGAUGACACGCCUCAAUAUUUUAACAGUGCAACUAUUUCAGAAGCUGAAGGAGGUUAAAUGUUUAGUGUUUCUAUUUCCAUUUCAGUUUUAAAUGCUUAAGAUAAAGUUAUGAUUAAUUCAGUAUAAAGCUUAUUUCAGCACACAUUGUCAAUUUCAAUAUUGUUAGAAAAGUGAGUACAUAAUUCUUUUAAAGAGCCUGCAUUUGAGUAUGUUUUCCUCUGGAAUAACUAUUAAUUGCUAGAAUAAACUAUCAUUUGCAGUCACUAAAGCAUAUCUGUGUAUUUUUUUAAUACACAAACUUAAAAACAAACAGAUGGUCCAACAUAUCUUGUGUCCUAUUGGUCUAUUGCAUGUCAUCGAGUUCUCUUCAGAUCUAUGGAGAUGGAGACUUUUAUAAAAUGUAGUGGUCUUGGCAUAAAAUUAUUUUAUAAAAAUAAAACAAUUAUUUUAAUUGUUAAUAUUAUUUAUUUAUUUUAUUCUUUGGCCAGGUCGACCCAAAUUGUAUUGUUUUUGUGAUUAUUUAUUUAUUGUGAGCCGCCCCGAGGCUUCGGCGAAUGGGGCGGCACAGAAGCUUUUUAAAUAAAGAGAAGAAGUAUGGCAUCAGAACGAUACAGAUGUGAUUAACAAACCUCUGUUAUCACGCUAGUAAAUGCCCGCUCGUGGGCCGUGGGGGCCUAAUCUAAGCUCUGUAGGGGCUUAGAGAGAUUGCUUGGCGAAUCCCCCAUAGGAUGUGGAAUGGCAAUUCCACAUGUAGUGGGAGGAAAUCAAGCUUUUUUCAGCCGGGCAAGACCAGAGGGAGUGCUGCCCUCUUUAAGGUCUCGACAUAUGAUUUUUUUUAGCUUUUGUUUUAGCUUUUGUGUACACACCAAAUCUAUUGGAACGUAUUUUUGUUUUGUUUUGUUUUUUCUGCAAUGAUACCCAUGGAAUAAGCUGGUUUUUUUGCUAAUUAAAAAGCCCUUUGGAUGAUGGGGGAAUGAAACCUCCCCCCCACGGAGUUGAAAAGCGGCGAAUUGCAUAACGGAGAGAAAGACAGAACUGUUUGUAAGUAAGGAAAAGAUUUAUCUUCUUUAAUCAAUCAAAAGUGAUUAAAGGUGGCGGAGGUGGGUGAGGGCCGGUGAGGCAGUGGUGGAGGUGUGCGUGCGCUUGCAUGCAUGGCGAGGCAGUGGCUUGCUCGCUCAGAGGUCGUUUUCUCCAAGCGAGUCCAAAACGAUCUCUGAGUGAGCAAGCCGCGCGUGUGGCGGGGCGGUGGCGAGAGUGCGCAUGGCGAGGCAGGUGGCGGCGGUGGCGGGCGUGGGUGCGGACAGCCCAAAACCUCUGAGGGGGGUUGGAUCUGGCCCACGGGUCAUAGUUUGAGAACCCAUGCUCUAAACUCUCCUCAUGAACCUUUGAAGGUCAUUCCUUUUCAAAAAAUGCAAAAAUAUCCUAGGUUACACAUGCUCCUACUAGCAGAGUAGAGGAGAUACGAAGCUUCCUGUCAGAAAUAGUUGUUUUUGUUCUUGAAGAAACACACAUUUUAUUGCCUGCCAAUUCAUUAUUAAUAUAAGAUUAAUUUUUCAUUCUUUAGUCUUCCGGAGAUUAUCCUGUCAAACCUUUGCCAGAAACCCAUUCACUUCAAAGAGAAAUGCUAGCAUUCUCUCUCUCUCUCUCUCUCUCUCUAUUAAAAGCUUUUCUACUCUGUCCACCAUUAGCAUCUCGGGACAGCUUACAAUAAAAAUGAGUAGAAUAAAACAAAACACUACAGCAUCCAACGACUGCAAUACUAAAACCCCAAUUAAAAGCGAUUAAACAUUAAAAAUUACGGGAAAAUAAAAAGAUUUUUGCCUGAUGCCAAAAAGAAUAGAAUGUUAGCACCAGACGAACCCCUUUGGGGGGCGUAUUCCACAAUUGGGGCCCCACCACAGAGAAGGCUCUCCUUCAGGUAGUCACCCUCCUAAUCUCCUUCAAGGAGGGCUCUUGGAUCUAACCUACAUCUGCACUGGGUUCUGGGUAUUUUACAUUCACAAGUGAAAGGCAUAUUCUGAAAGCAUGUUUGUAGCUUAAAAGCUAGACUCCCCAUCAGCAAAGACUCCUUCUUCUCCGUCUGGGCCUCAAAUUGCAGGCACCUUUCUGCAGCUUUAAGCGCUGGUAUUCUGGAAAGUUUGUGCAGUUUGUGCUCACCUGGUUCAUCAGAAAACGUGCCUCAGCAAAUAGCUGUUUGGCAAGAGGUCUUCCAGUAAAUGACUUAAAAAUAUGCAAACCUUUUACGCAUUACCCUCUGGAAUGUAGAUACUGUGCUUGGGUAUCUCUCUUCUGCCUGCUUUCUUAAAUGGAAAGUUGGACUCUGCAUGAGAGUCCGUUCGUUCCGGUCAAAUGAAUUGCUGCGUAUUGAUCAGAGACACUGGAUGUCAUGGUGGGGGUGGGAAGCAGCUUCAUGUUUGCAAUCCUCCCUCCCAUGGUGCAUAUUUUCACUUUGCCAUUUUUCUACAGCCCAUUCUGGACAAUGACAGUCCCCACAAGGAGGCCUGCGAUCUCCCUGCUUACAGACAACCACGCCACCUAAGACAGUAACUUAGCAGCAAGAACAGAUAACAGCAAUAUAGACCCAGCAGUGAGACCCUAGAUGCCAACUCUGCCCCCUAUCUAAAUUUUCAGCACUGUUCCAGGGCUUAAUAUUCUCCUCUAAAGCUACAGAGGUGCAUAUUCCACAGCUUCCAAUGUGGUGUUUCCCAGCAGUGUCCUACUGGAGAACAUACUGACUAGUCCCUAUGAAAAGAAAUAAAUGGACCCAAAUUUGACACCAGAAGGUCUAUUCAGUAAGCAGCAGGGAAACAUUUCAGACCCCCGAGAUGCUCAGCCAAAACACAGUCCUCUAAAGUCAUGCCCAGCAGCUACCUCCUAGUUCUCUUUUUUUUUACCCUAGACUAAAAGUAGGAAGGCUGAGGAAGUUUGGGAAUAAAGUAUGGGGUCACAGAGCUCGAAGCUUGCAAUUUGUAUUGCCAAACAGGGAUCCAUUAAAGCAAGUCACUGGAGAGUUGUGAGGACAAACUAAGAUUGUAGGUGCCUUCCAGGGCUCCUUGGAGGAAUGGCAAAAGCCACUUUUCUAGCCAUUCCUAAAGAUAUUGAGAGCACCAUAAGAGCCAAAGGAAAUUAAGGAAUCAACCUUUUAGCUUGAGCAAUGUAUAUCAUUUAUUUAAAUGGGUCUGUAUAAUUAAGCUUCAGCUGUUCCACAUGUUGUCCAAUGGAUCUGUAGCCUUCAUGGUUUUUCUUGCUCUCGAUAGUGAAAUGUAAGCCUUGUGCAUGUGUAGAGGUUGAGAUGGGGGAGAAAAAAGCACCACUCUUCCCAUUCUCUCUCUCUCUCUCUCUCACACACACACACGCACAUAUACUCCACGUGCAUUAGUUCACCAUAUCCUUCAACCUACAGAGGAUGUAGAGUUGUUAAUCAAGAAUGCCCUUCAGGACACCAUCCAAGGAACCUGCUUUGGUUCUGCUGGGGUAAUUUGCUCCUCUCUGCCUUCUGUUAAUGACAGUGAGUGGAGAGGCACAGAACGGACUAUUCAAACAUCUGCUGUAUGUAUCUUGCAGCAAAUUGCCCUGUGAAUUGCCAUGCUUUCUAUUGAUAGCUUUGAUGCCAUGCAAUCCCGGUGGUGUCGAGCGGGGCUUGGGCAGAUAAGGCAUUAAUGAAUCUCAGAGUAACCUUGGUUAAUCAAAUGAGUUGCUGACGCUUCCUUUCUCUCCAAGUCAGCCCCAUCAAGUUUAGUGUCAAAGGUUUAGUAUAAAGAGCCGAGGCAGCCGUCAGAACGCCCCUUUUGCCCAGCUCCAGGACCAGCUGCAGCUUCUGGAGCGACG
ensembl:lncRNA